GGCUGCUUUCUGAUCCAAACUGCCUUUGUGGUUGCCGUGGCAACAGUUACACAGGUCACCGGGACACUGCUCAGGCUCCGCUGUGCUUGCCAUGGCUCUGGCCCUCGUGCCCUCUCACAUUCCCCCACAUUUUCAAAAUCUUACCCAUCCCCGCAGCACGUCAGGCCCCAGGGAAGCUUCCUGGCCGCUUGUGACCUAUUAUUCCUGCCCUCCCCUGCACUCCCACGGGGCUUUAUUUCUGCCUCUGCCCCGGCAGUGAGCACCACGUGGCACGGCGUUGUUCCUGGCCCUGUACCCAGUCAUGUUGGGACUUAGGAAAUGUGUCCUCUUUACCUCUGGGCCCUCACAACCAGCUCGCUGACCGGCAGGGGCGCCCUGGUACACCCCACCCGCACCCAAGGGCACCCUGGGCCUGGCUCGCCUUCUCACCCUCAGCCCAGGCCCCAGCUCCUGCCGAGGGUCUGAGACUGUGUGGUGAGCAGCGGUCCCUGAAUGAGCCUCGAGACAGCACCAUGUCCUGCUGCCACUUUGCCCUGGCGUGGUGGCCCUGCCCUGGCCUCCACCCAGCCUGCCCCCAAGCCCCUCCGCAUCGGCCCUGCCUGAAGGCACCGGUGCUCUCACCUGUCAGAAAUCGCACCCGUCACCUUGGCCUGCUGAGCACCGCCUGGACUGAGGAGCGCACCUCCCUCCACCACAGUCCUGCCGCAGGACCCUCGCUGUCGUGACCUGAGGUGCACAGCUGCAGACCGCACUCCGGAUGUGGACUCCAACAGACUGUGCCCAGCACGUGCCCUUACAAGACUUUCUGGUCUGUAAAAUGGACCACCACACCUACCUCACAGGGGUGUUGUGAGGGUAGCAUGAGCAAUGUUUGGAAAAGG